rnacentral:lncRNA from 1 species
UUCUGGUUAUUUUUAAUUCAUUUUAAAUAGUUUUUGAUAUUCAAAAAAUACAAAAAUAUUUUCCUAACCUAUUUGAAUGAUGAUGGAUCUAUGAAAAAUAUUCUCAUUAAUUUUUGAAUUGAUUUGAGAUUUAUUUGAGAUUUUAGUUCAAUUAGGUUAUUUUUAUUCAUUUUUAAUUGAUUAAAAAUAGUUUCUGACUUUUAAAAAUGCUGAAAUUUUU